UACAGAGGGUGCGAGCGUUAAUCGGAUUUACUGGGCGUAAAGGGCGCGUAGGCGGUAAUGUGAGUGUGAUGUGAAAGCCCCGGGCUUAACCUGGGAAGUGCAUCGCAAACGACAUUGCUGGAGUAUAAGAGAGGGUGGCGGAAUUUCCGGUGUAGCGGUGAAAUGCGUAGAGAUCGGAAGGAACGUCAAUGGCGAAGGCAGCCACCUGGCUUAAUACUGACGCUGAGGCGCGAAAGCGUGGGGAUCAAACAGG
rnacentral:rRNA from 1 species